rnacentral:rRNA from 1 species
GUGUCAGCAGCCGCGGUAAAACCAGCACCUCAAGUGGUCAGGAGGUUUAUUGGGCCUAAAGCAUCCGUAGCCUGAUCUAUAAGUUUCCGGUUAAAUCCAAAUGCUCAACAUUUGGGCUGCCGGAAAAACUGUAGAUCUAGGGAGUGGGAGAGGUAGACGGUACUCGGUAGGAAGGGGUAAAAUCCUUUGAUCUAUUGAUGACCACCAGUGGCGAAGGCGGUCUACCAGAACACGUUCGACGGUGAGGGAUGAAAGCUGGGGGAGCAAACCGGAUUAGAUACCCGGGUAGUCCCAGCUGUAAACGAUGCAGACUCGGUGAUGCAUUGGCUUGUGGCCAGUGCAGUGCCGCAGGGAAGCCGUUAAGUUUGCCGCCUGGGAAGUACGUACGCAAGUAUGAAACUUAAAGGAAUUGGCGGGGGAGCACCACAAGGGGUGAAGCCUGCGGUUCAAUUGGAGUCAACGCCAGAAAUCUUACCCGGAGAGACAGCAGAAUGAAGGUCAAGCUGAAGACUUUACCAGACAAGCUGAGAGGUGGUGCAUGGCCGUCGCCAGCUCGUGCCGUGAGAUGUCCUGUUAAGUCAGGUAACGAGCGAGACCCUUGCCUCUAGUUGCCACCAUUGCUCUCUGGAGCAGUGGGGCGAAUUAGCGGGACCGCCGCAGUUAAUGUGGAGGAAGGAAAGGGCUACGGCAGGUCAGUAUGCCCCGAAACUCUGGGGCCACACGCGGGCUGCAAUGGUAGCGACAAUGUGUUCCAAACCCUAAAGGGGGAGGUAAUCAUCAAACGCUACCACAGUUAUGACUGAGGGCUGCAACUCGCCCUCACGAAUAUGGAAUCCCUAGUAACUGCGUGUCAUUACCGCGCGGUGAAUACGUCCCUGCUCCU